AUAUAUGUAUAAAAGCAUAGCUGUUCAGUGUAGGACAAUCCAAAAGUUUAACAAUCAGUGGACGAGAAACUUUAUGACGGGACGAAUUUUACAGGGCAGCAAUAUUAACGCGAAUAUGCGCCUUAUGCAACUACCUCAUCGUAGCGAGUAGCGUUCUUGUCAAAUUCUCGUGUUACAAAGUCUAUUUUCUGUACAGAAUAAUUUCGUGUUAAAUAAACAUCACGCGAUUUUGGGAGCAGUUCGCCAUGACAGUACACGAAUUUACAGCGAUGUGACGAUCGCAAUUCUUUUUUCAUCGAUAGCCAUUCGGAGUUCAUAAUUAAAUGCACGAAACCGACAUCCCAGGAAUCGGAGUAAAUGGCAAACACAUCGGGGGUGAACUUGGCGGUGGGCAGGGGUAACAAACAGUGGUCCCGGUGUAAAACAGCCCACCAGAAUUCAUCGGAAUCCUUACAACUGGCUUCGGUGGUUCAUUGCAGGGGGCCGGAACAGGUUUAGGAAAUGGAGCACAAGUGACACAAGGAUAUCCGGUGCAUGGGGGACAAAUAAAAGGGCAUGGAGGGCA